GUACCUCAUGAGUUAGACGAUGAGCACCCUCUUGCUUUUGUCACCAAGAGGCCUAAUGUCAAGGUGACGGAACAGGAAUUGAUAGACUUUGUAGCG